rnacentral:rRNA from 1 species
AUGAAGAAAAUCUGGGUUCCCAAAAGGUGCCUUGAAAAUCUUCAGAUGAAUGUCAUCAUGACACCACUUGUGAAGAAUAGGAACCCCAGAUCAAAUUCUUCAUAUGGACCAAAUUCUUCAUAUGGAUUCAAGUCCUCAUAUGGGCCAAAUUCCUCAUGUGGAUCAAAUUCCUUAAAAGGAUCAAAGUCCUCAUAUGAACAUCAUCGUGCUAGCAUUUUUGUCUCGCAGAAAAGAUUUAAGGGCUAUGAAUAUGAGCAUUAUUCUUCUAAUCAUUAUGUUCAUAAGUCCUCGAAGAAUUUCUCUGCUUAUUCAUAUGCUUACCCUAAUUCCUCUUAUGUGAAAUGA